GACGGAGGGUGCAAGCGUUGCUCGGAAUCACUGGGCGUAAAGGGUGCGUAGGCGGCCUCUUAAGUCUGACGUGAAAGCCCAGGGCUUAGCCCUGGAAGGGCGUUAGAAACUGGGAGGCUCGAGUGCCGGAGGGGAGAGUGGAAUUCCCGGUGUAGCGGUGAAAUGCGUAGAUAUCGGGAAGAAUACCGGUGGCGAAAGCGACUCUCUGGACGGUUACUGACGCUAAGGCACGAAAGCGUGGGGAGCAAACAGG
rnacentral:rRNA from 1 species